rnacentral:rRNA from 1 species
ACAGCCGACAAAGAUUUAUCGGUAUGGGAUGGGCCCGCGUUUGAUUAGCUAGUUGGUGAGGUAACGGCUCACCAAGGCGACGAUCAAUAGCCGACCUGAGAGGGUGAUCGGCCACACUGGAACUGAGAAACGGUCCAGACUCCUACGGGAGGCAGCAGUAGGGAAUAUUCCGCAAUGGGCGAAAGCCUGACGGAGCAACGCCGCGUGAGUGAAGAAGGUUUUCGGAUCGUAAAGCUCUGUCAACAGGGACGAAACAAGACGGUACCUGAGAAGGAAGCCACGGCAAACUACGUGCCAGCAGCCGCGGUAAUACGUAGGUGGCAAGCGUUGUCCGGAAUAACUGGGCGCAAAGCGCAUGUAGACGGCAUGAUAAGCCAAAUGUGAAAUGUAGGGGCUCAACCCCUGCACUGCGAUUGGAACUGUCAAGCUUGAGUGCAGGAGAGGCAAAUGGAAUUCCCAGUGUAGCAGUGAAAUGCGUAGAGAUUGGGAGGAACACCAGUGGCGAAGGCGAUUUGCUGGACUGCAACUGACGUUGAGAUGCGAAAGCUAGGGGAGCAAACGGGAUUAGAUACCCCGGUAGUCCUAGCCGUAAACGAUGAAUACUAGGUGU